AAUUGAUUUAGGUUACAAAUUAUAAAUAACUUCAGGUCUUAAUUAAUUCACAAGUAUCUAUCUAUUUAUAUCAGUCUACCUUCAAGAUUUUAGAGGAAAAUAAUAAUUUAAUAGUCCCAAGAGACCAAUCUUUGACCCAGAAGCGUCGGUAUGAAAGAUAAGUGCGUCGGAAAGUUAAUUAGUGUUUCUGAAGAAUUAGUUUUUAUAUAUCAAGGGAAAAAUAACCAGAUAACUGUGAAAAUUAUCUAAAGCUAGUAAAAUCUGUAUUCUUGGACACCUAUAAAAAUAAUAUUAAGAAAAAUAACUUAUAUAAGUUAUAUUUAAAUUAGCCUCGUUUUCAACAUUACUUGUAUAGGUAAUUUUAAUUGUUACUUGUUUAAGUAAUGCACCUGACUGCUAA
rnacentral:lncRNA from 1 species